rfam:Populus trichocarpa scaffold_12_contig_105, whole genome shotgun sequence.
UCUAGAACUCGAGAUAUGGGCUAAACACUGAACAUUGUCUAUGCUGCAGAACAAAUUCCGACUUCUUCGUUGUUACUUCAAUUUAAACUUGAAAACGACAUUUUUAAAUCUUGGACUCUCAUGAAAGUUUUAGGCCUAUGUCUUAGAUUUCCAUC